rnacentral:rRNA from 1 species
AGUGUAGGCGGUUUAGCAAGUCGGAUGUGAAAUCUCAGGGCCCAACCCUGGAACUGCAUCCGAUACUGUUAGGCUAGAGUCCCGGAGAGGAUGGCGGAAUUCCCGGUGUAGGGGUGAAAUCCGUAGAUAUCGGGAGGAACACCAGUGGCGAAGGCGGCCAUCUGGACGGUGACUGACGCUGAGACUCGAAAGCGUGGGUAGCAAACAGGAUUAGAUACCCUGGUAGUCC